ACAGGAACGGGAGGAGGAAGUGGCUUAACUACUGGUGUGGGCUUUGGUGUUGGGUUGUAAACGGGAACUGGAGGAGGAAGUGGCUUUUCUAGCGGUGGGGGACAUGGCUUUUUAAAAAAGGGAGGAAUAGGUGGAAGAGGAAAAGGGUGUCCCAAUGGUGGCAUUGGUGGAAAUGGUGGCAACUUAGGGAACUUCUUCAUCCAAGAAUGAUCUUUUGGGAAAGGUGGCAACUGUGGGUACUUAAAGUAAGGCCACAAGAAAGCAGAAGUGCACAAGGGUGUUGAGAACUUAAGAUUUCCAGCUGUUUUCAAUGUAUUUUUGCCAUCAGUUUUAAUACUAACAAUCUUGGAUGAUUCAAUGCCAUUGUGUGCUGGACAUGGUGCAGAUGAUGCACUAUGUAACUGCGCAUAGCAUUCCUCUUUCAGCUUGCCAUCUUUCAUCAUCUCCUUCGGAAGUGACACUUCAAACUUGCCAUCUUGAUCAAGCUCUCCUUCUCCCCUUGUUUUGAUUUCUCCAUUUGUAAGCUUGCAGUCAAUGCUUACAUGAAGUCCUGAUAGAGCAUGAAUAGUGUUAAUAUUAUUCUCCUUGCAGUCAGCACAUUCUCCAAAACCAACCACCUUAAUUGUGUUGUCAUCAGCAAUGCAGAAAGUAGAGAGUAGUAAAGACAGGGACAGUCCCAGAAGGACUCUGCCACAAAGGGACUGAAGCCCCAUUCUGUUUAUACAAAAUAAAUGUAAGUUUUGAAUGAUAUUCUUGAAUCUGCAGAA
rnacentral:misc_RNA from 1 species